rnacentral:rRNA from 1 species
GUAGGGAAUAUUGGACAAUGGGGGCAACCCUGAUCCAGCAAUGCCGCGUGAGUGAUGAAGGCCUUAGGGUUGUAAAGCUCUUUUACCCGGGAUGAUAAUGACAGUACCGGGAGAAUAAGCUCCGGCUAACUCCGUGCCAGCAGCCGCGGUAAUACGGAGGGAGCUAGCGUUGUUCGGAAUUACUGGGCGUACAGCGCGCGUAGGCGGCUAUUUAAGUCAGAGGUGAAAGCCUGGAGCUCAACUCCAGAACUGCCUUUGAGACUGGAUAGCUAGAAUCCUGGAGAGGUGAGUGGAAUUCCGAGUGUAGAGGUGAAAUUCGUAGAUAUUCGGAAGAACACCAGUGGCGAAGGCGGCUCACUGGACAGGUAUUGACGCUGAGGUGCGAAAGCGUGGGGAGCAAACAGGAUUAGAAACCCCAGUAGUCC